AACGAGCGCUGGCGGCAGGCUUAACACAUGCAAGUCGAACGCGUGUAGCAAUACACGAGUGGCGCACGGGUGAGUAACGCGUGGAUAUCUGCCUUUUGGUUCGGAAUAACCCCGGGAAACUGGGGCUAAUACCGGAUGGUUCCUUCGGGAUAAAGAUUUAUCGCCAAAAGAUGAGUCCGCGUACGAUUAGCUAGUUGGUGAGGUAAUGGCUCACCAAGGCGACGAUCGUUAGCUGGUCUGAGAGGACGAUCAGCCACACUGGGACUGAGACACGGCCCAGACUCCUACGGGAGGCAGCAGUGGGGAAUAUUGGACAAUGGGGGCAACCCUGAUCCAGCCAUGCCGCGUGAGUGAUGAAGGCCUUCGGGUUGUAAAGCUCUUUUGGCGGGGACGAUGAUGACGGUACCCGCAGAAUAAGCCCCGGCUAACUUCGUGCCAGCCGCCGCGGUAAGAC
rnacentral:rRNA from 1 species